UGGGGAAUAUUGGACAAUGGGCGCAAGCCUGAUCCAGCCAUGCCGCGUGAGUGAUUAAGGCCCUAGGGUUGUAAAGCUCUUUCACCGGUGAUGAUAAUGACGGUAACCGGAGAAGAAGCCCCGGCUAACUUCGUGCCAGCAGCCGCGGUAAUACGAAGGGGGCUAGCGUUGUUCGGAUUUACUGGGCGUAAAGCGCACGUAGGCGGACUUUUAAGUCAGGGGUGAAAUCCCGGGGCUCAACCCCGGAACUGCCUUUGAUACUGGAAGUCUUGAGUAUGGUAGAGGUGAGUGGAAUUCCGAGUGUAGAGGUGAAAUUCGUAGAUAUUCGGAGGAACACCAGUGGCGAAGGCGGCUCACUGGACCAUUACUGACGCUGAGGUGCGAAAGCGUGGGGAGCAAACAGG
rnacentral:rRNA from 1 species